rnacentral:rRNA from 1 species
UACAGAGGGGGCAAGCGUUGUUCGGAAUUACUGGGCGUAAAGGGCGCGUAGGUGGCCUUCUUAGUCAGACGUGAAAUCCCCCGGCUUAACCUGGGAACUGCGUCUGAUACUGGAAGGCUUGAGGAUGGGAGAGGGAUGUAGAAUUCCAGGUGUAGCGGUGAAAUGCGUAGAUAUCUGGAGGAAUACCGGUGGCGAAGGCGGCAUCCUGGACCAUUACUGACGCUGAGGCGCGAAAGCUAGGGGAGCA